UACGGAGGAUGCGAGCGUUAUCCGGAUUUAUUGGGUUUAAAGGGUGCGUAGGCGGGCUUUUAAGUCAGCGGUAAAAAUUCGGGGCUCAACCUCGUCGAGCCGUUGAAACUGGGUGUCUUGAGUGGGCGAGAAGUACGCGGAAUGCGUGGUGUAGCGGUGAAAUGCAUAGAUAUCACGCAGAACUCCGAUUGCGAAGGCAGCGUACCGGCGCCCAACUGACGCUGAAGCACGAAGGCGUGGGUAUCGAACAGG
rnacentral:rRNA from 1 species